UGAGCAGGAUUCAGAUGGCCAUGAGUAUAAUGGAGGAACUUCCAGGAGUGAGCUUCAGUGAGAACACUACUUCAUUGUUCCAGGGGAGUAAUGAAUGGUCUUUGAGGACAUAAGGCUAGCUCACAUCUCAAUACUUUUCUUGGCUGACAUCCAGGCAGAUUUAUAGUGCCAAGGUCUAAAGGCUUGAAAAUAUCCCAGCAUCCUAUUGCUCUAGCAGCUAAAUCAAACCUGAUGCCCAGAACCUGCGUGAGCAGAAUAAUGAACCGUACUGCACUCCUUCCAAGCCCUGCCAGUGGUGGAGUCUUGGAGGGCAGGAGGAAGCCACUGGGAAUGGAGAAGCUGUGUUACAGAAAUUCCUGACAGACUAGGAAGAAGGAACCAAUGUUAUCAAGCCUCUUCUACGAACAGAUGGCCUGCUGGCCAAACAUGUGGUGGAGUACUAUCUCCCUUUAUGAAAAAAAUACUAAGACAUGACAAAUACAAGUUCUUCAUUCAAAAGUGCACUACACCUUCCAAGCCAGAUCCUGCGUGUUCUGCAAUGGCAGCUGCUGCUGAAGAUUCCGAUUCCCCAG
rnacentral:lncRNA from 1 species